CAAUACAGUAAAACGCAACAUAGCUCACCAAAAGUAACAUAAAUCAGGUGUAAAACACAGGUCAUCAGAAGGAGGGCAUUAAUAAAAGGCAGCUUUAGAUAGUUCCAUUUUUAGAAGGUUUUUUUUAAAAAAAUUCUGUUGCACUUGUGAAAAGCAAACAAUGCUCUUUGCAGAGACACUCUUGACAUGCGUGAGGCUUCAAACAGGUACUUGUGUAUUCUUCUUCCUCCCACGGAGCAAAGACUCGCAGCUCUGAGAAUAGCCGUCAAGCGGCGGACCUGUGCGCCACGCACUCACUUCCCACUCCUGCUGCUAUAAACAGACUCAGCGUCUUUCUCAGUAAAUGUCAAAGGGAGCAAAGUCUACAAAUGUGGCGGAAGCUGAGGGGGGGGGAAUGUCACAAGGGCAUUUUCUGCCUUCCAUGGGUCUCAUUUCAGGGGCCUCAUUGUCCUGACUGGAAACUUGUCCCUCUGCGCCUUUAAUACCAGUACCCAAAUUGAGAGAAACACAAAAUGGCCGGGCAGCGUCCUUCUUCUGAUGGUACGUCUUCAAGGACAACAGAGCCCAUGUUGUCCAGCUAAAUAGAUACAGCUCAUCUGCAGCGGCUGGUUAGCCAGUUUUAUUCAGUGGGGCCAUGCAUGGAGAAGUGUGUGAAUGUUUAUCCAUGGGAUAGAAUGAAAGGAAGUCGCAGCCCUGGGCUUGCAGGAGCCGAGCAAGGGCUGUUCGAAACAAGACACUCUGGAGGUCACCCAUUCAUAGGGCUACCGUGGGUCGGAAGCCAUUGGAGGGCACGUAAGGACAGCAAAUAAGAGUUUUAGGAAAUUCAAAGCCAUCUCACAGUCAAUCCUUGGGUCUGUCAGGAACUUAAAGCGGAUGGCUGAGGAGAGGCACUAGGGAGAGCUUUUGAUUGUGAAUUCCAAGGGUCGUGUGCAGGCAGAUGAAAGCCCGGCUGGUACAUGGUGGCUACAUUUCAAAUUGUGUAUGCAACUGGGCAAGAUUCAGAAGGCACAAUGGUACGCGUUGUGUUUGCAGUCGAGCCAUUAAUUCUGUGGAUUUUUUGAAGGAUGUGCACCAAAGAGAGCAAGAUUACGAAGACUCCCCUACUUGCACCACUAGAAAGACACAGACCUGGAAUGUACUCUUGAUGUCAGCCUACUUCAAUGUGCUACAGGAUCAAGGCUGCAUUCUCUUAAAAACUGGUGCUUAUGCUUGCUCAUUUCCUUAGGAGUCUUUUUCACAUCUGCAUAAACAUUACAGAUCUUUGUGUUCCGCUGUUUUUCACAGUUUAUUCUGCGCAGAAGUAGAUAGGAAAAGAGGUAAUUUGGAGAAUACUCUGUCAAUGUGACAUCUCUGCAAUUAACUUACCUGCACAAUAAAAUGCACAGGGUCUCCA
rnacentral:lncRNA from 1 species